rnacentral:rRNA from 1 species
AGAUUGAACGCUGGCGGCAGGCCUAACACAUGCAAGUCGAGCGGCAGCACGGGUACUUGUACCUGGUGGCGAGCGGCGGACGGGUGAGUAAUGCCUAGGAAUCUGCCUGGUAGUGGGGGGAUAACGCUCGGAAACGGACGCUAAUACCGCAUACGUCCUACGGGAGAAAGCAGGGGACCUUCGGGCCUUGCGCUAUCAGAUGAGCCUAGGUCGGAUUAGGCUAGUUGGUGAGGUAAUGGCUCACCAAGGUUGACGAUCCGUAACUGGUCUGACGAGGGAUCGAUCAGUCACACGUGGAACUGAGACACGGUCCAGACUCCGUACGGGAGCAGCAGUGGGGAAUUAGUUGGACAAGUGGGACGAAAGCCGUGA